UCUGGAUUUCUUACAUUGGAGGCUAGAGUUAUUCCUUAAUUUAUUUGUUUUUCUUGUCGGAGUGGAUUAUUACAGCUGAAUAAUAUGUCUACGCCAGGCAAAAUAAAUAUCAAGAAAAAUCCAUCCUCUAAGAUAUCUCAGUCUUACAGGGCUGGCUUGCGAUUCCCAGUAAGUCGAAUCCAUAAGUAUUUAAAGACUGGAAACUAUGCUGAAAGAAUCAGCCCUGAAGCCCCUAUCUUUCUGGCUGCUGUGAUGGAAUACUUGACAACAGAGAUACUGGAGCUGUCUGGUGAUAUUGCCCAGGCAAACAAAAAAGUCCGGAUCACCCCUCGACAUAUCCAGCUAGCCCUUCAGAAUGAUGAGGAACUUCACAAGCUCUUGGCUACUGCAACAAUCCCUCAAGGUGGGGUGGUGCCCUACAUUCAUUCCCAACUACUUUCUCGGAAGACUCCUCAAAAUCUAUCAGAUGGGAAAACGUCUUCCAUCCCAAAGGUCUAGCUGUCCUCCAGAGAAAAAGAAGAGGGGACCUGGGAACUUCUGUCUUCAGACAUACAUUUCUUGCUCUAAAGUAGAUUCAGUUUGCUUGGAAUGGUUGAUAAGUGAUGUUAGGUGAUAACUCAGGGUUUUAAUUAUUUAAUGAGGCACUUAUACAAAUGCACUAUAAUAAAAAUGUUUGCUGCUUUGAA